rfam:Gossypium hirsutum cultivar TM-1 chromosome 26, whole genome shotgun sequence
UAUGAAAAUUUUCAUCCAUUUGUAUCAUUAAAAACUGACAUGGCUAAUGGAAUAACCAGACAUUGAUACAUAGCAUGACAUGUGUACAUCAUGUUGACAUACAAUAAUCAAUUUUUAACAGUAGAAAUAAAUUAAAUUUUUAACA